CCAUAAUGAAGCUGGACGUAUCCACCGGGGGAUUUUUCUGUAGUAUCAGAGUGGGCUGGUCUGGAGCGUCCAGGUGAAUGUCGUUCUGGUGACUGGACACUCGGACAAGAGCCAACUUUGGGAAGUGCCUCUGGGAGACGUAUUCUCCGUUUGGUCUCAUCAACAUCCAUUGUCUUUGAACAAUAAAAGGCUCGUGAAUUAAAAGAAAACACAUACAUUCCAAUAGAAGCCCGCCUCAGAUCUCCCAACAGAAGCCUGCCUCAGAUCUCCCAACAGAAGCCCGCCUCAGAUCUCCCAACAGAAGCCCGUCUCUGAUCUUCCAACAGAAGACUGCCUCACAGAAGCCCGCCUCAUAUCUUCCAACAGAAGUCUGCCUCAGAUUUCCCAACAGAAGCUCGCCUCAUAUCUUCCAACAGAAGCCUGCCUCAGAUCUCCCAACUGAAGCCCGCCUCUGAUCUUCCAACAGAAGCAAAUGGCAGCCUGGACUCUCUAUAGGCCUAAGCAAAUUCUGGAUUCCGUAUGCAGUGUCCUUAUAUUUGUGAACAGUAAUGUCAACUAUUCAUUUUAUUCUCUAACCAAAGUUAUAUACGGGCACUAAGUGUAGAUUACGUCAUGCGCCCUCUGGUGACAGGGCGCUAUUUCUGUCUGCUUUAGUGCACUUGUAAGUCACUGUGACAUUUCUCAAUGAGUCUUGUAAAAUUGUUAUAUAAUUGAUGCACUUACAGACUGACAUGACA